rnacentral:rRNA from 1 species
GAUGAACGCUGGCGGCGUGCCUAAUACAUGCAAGUCGAGCGAACAGACGAGGAGCUUGCUCCUUUGACGUUAGCGGCGGACGGGUGAGUAACACGUGGAUAACCUACCUAUAAGACUGGGAUAACUUCGGGAAACCGGAGCUAAUACCGGAUAAUAUAUUGAACCGCAUGGUUCAAUAGUGAAAGACGGUUUUGCUGUCACUUAUAGAUGGAUCCGGGCUGCAUUAGCUAGUUGGUAAGGUAACGGCUUACCAAGGCAACGAUGCGUAGCCGACCUGAGAGGGUGAUCGGCCACCCGGGAACUGAGACACGGUCCAGACUACUACGGGAGGCAGCAGUAGGGAAUCUUCCGCAAUGGGCGAAAGCCUGACGGAGCAACGCCGCGUGAGUGAUGAAGGUCUUCGGAUCGUAAAACUCUGUUAUUAGGGAAGAACAAAUGUGUAAGUAACUAUGCACGUCUUGACGGUACCUAAUCAGAAAGCCACGGCUAACUACGUG